rnacentral:rRNA from 1 species
AGAGUUUGAUCCUGGCUCAGGAUGAACGCUGGCGGCGUGCUUAAUACAUGCAAGUCGAACGGACGAACGGAUGUAGUAAUACAGAAGUGAGUUAGUGGCGAACGGGCGAGUAACGAGUUGGUGACCUGCCCCAAAGUUUGGGAUAACAGUCCGAAAGGAUUGCUAAUACCGGAUGUGAUCUACUGGAUUAGAAGCGGUAGAUGAAAGCAGCGAUGCGCUUUGGGAGGGGCCUGCUUCCCAUCAGCUAGUUGGUGAGGUAGAAGCUCACCAAGGCGACGACGGGUAAGGGACCUGAGAGGGUGGUCCCUCGCAAUGGCACUGAAACACGGGCCAUACACCUACGGGUGGCAGCAGUAGGGAAUAUUGGGCAAUGGGCGAAAGCCUGACCCAGCAACGCCGCGUGCAUGAUGAAGGCCUUCGGGUCGUAAAGUGCUUUUCUGAGGGAUGAGAAAGGACAGUACCUCAGGAAUAAGCCUCGGCUAACUACGUGCCAGCAGCCGCGGUGAAACGUAGGAGGCGAGCGUUAUCCGGAUUUACUGGGCGUAAAGCGUGUGUAGGCGGUACGGCAAGUUGGAUGUGAAAGCUCCUGGCUUAACUAGGAGAGGUCGUUCAAAACUACCGAACUUGAGUUUAUCAGAGGAAGAUGGAAUUCCCGGUGUAGUGGUGAAAUGCGUAGAUAUCGGGAGGAACACCAGUGGCGAAAGCGAUCUUCUGGGAUAAUACUGACGCUCAGACACGAAAGCUAAGGUAGCGAACGGGAUUAGAGACCCCGGUAGUCUUAGCAGUAAACGAUGUAGACUUGGUGUCGGAGGUGUCAAAGCCUUCGGUAUCGAAGCAAACGCGAUAAGUCUACCGCCUGGGGACUACGGCCGCAAGGUUAAAACUCAAAGGAAUUGACGGGGGCCCGCACAAGCAGCGGAGCGUGUGGUUUAAUUCGAUGCUACACGAAGAACCUUACCCAGGUUUGACAUGCAAAUGGUAGUGAACCGAAAGGGGAACGACCCGCAAGGGAGUUUGCACAGGUGCUGCAUGGCUGUCGUCAGCUCGUGUCGUGAGAUGUUCGGUUAAGUCCGCUAACGAGCGCAACCCUCGCCGUACGUUACAAGUGUCAUGCGGGACCGCCGGUAUCAAGCCGGAGGAAGGUGGGGAUGACGUCAAGUCAGCAUGGCCUUUAUGUCUGGGGCUACACACACGCUACAAUGGCCGGUACAACGGGUAGCUAAGCCGCGAGGCGGAGCCAAUCCCACAAAAGCCGGUCUCAGUUCAGAUCACAGGCUGCAACCCGCCUGUGUGAAGUUGGAGUUGCUAGUAAACGCGCGUCAGCUAUAGUGCGUUGAAUACGUUCUCGGGCCGUGUACACACCGCCCGUC